rnacentral:rRNA from 1 species
UACGUAGGGGGCAAGCGUUAUCCGGAAUUACUGGGUGUAAAGGGAGCGUAGACGGUAAUGUAAGUCUGGAGUGAAAGGCGGGGGCCCAACCCCCGGACUGCUCUGGAAACUAUGUUACUUGAGUGCAGGAGAGGAGAGUGGAACUCCAUGUGUAGCGGUGAAAUGCGUAGAUAUAUGGAAGAACACCAGUGGCGAAAGCGGCUCUCUGGUCUGUAACUGACGCUGAGGUUCGAAAGCGUGGGUAGCAAACAGG